rnacentral:rRNA from 1 species
UACGUAGGAGGCGAGCGUUGUCCGGAGUUACUGGGCGUAAAGGGUGCGCAGGCGGCCCCCCGCGUGUCGGAUGAAAUCUCCCGGCUCAACCGGGAGGGGGUCCGGCAGACGGGGGGGCUUGAGGCUCGCAGAGGGGCGUGGAAUUCCGGGUGGAGCGGUGAAAUGCGUAGAGAUCCGGAGGAACACCGACGGCGCAAGCAGCGCCCUGGACGAGACCUGACGCUCAGGCACGAAAGCUGGGGGAG